AAAUUUUAUUUUUUUUUUUUUUUAUUGCACAUGAACUACUUCAUUCCCGAGAGCCCGCAAUAACAAUGGCAAGUGCAACGUGCAGUGGAGAGGAGACAGCACCGUUACGUCUCGAAACAUCUCCAGAUAACAGCUUCUUCUUUCGGUUCGCAGAUAAAUAAAGGGACAUUUGAAGCCCCCCCAAAAAAACACGCAGAUUUGACUCGUAAAUAAUUGAUUAACGCAACCCAGCGAGAUACUCACCAUGAAGCGGUCCGCGCCAUAUGGUGGAUCCCAGCACAAUGAGCUCAUAUGUAUCCGCGUCCUGCUUGGUUUUCGGGCGUCAUUGUGAUUACUUCACCGUUUCAUCGCGGAGCCUUAAAUUCCCGGUUUGUGUCGGUGCAGCGGCGAGCGGGCGAGCAAAGCACACACUCCGUUUGGCGAGGAGGCUCAUACUACCAAUGAGAGCGACGCUGUAGCCCCUGCAAAGCAUGGCUGCGCUUUCUCGCUCCUCGCUUCUUUUUUUUUUUUUUUUUUCAAAAGAGGGCAGGUCGUUGUGUGCAUUACAAUGAGUUAAAUCUCUCUCUCUCUCUCUUGCUUCCCACACGCAAGCGCGUACCGCUCACGCGUGCUCUGUAAGUGAUUGGCCACCAGUCAAAGAUCCAGUCGAGCCCCUGGAGCAUACAUGAUGUCACCUGAGUAACCUCACCAGCCCUGCAGCCAAGGUAAAGCACAAGGGAACCCCACCAACGUGUAGUUACUUCUAACUUGUUCAAAUUGUGCAUUUAAAAUGAACAUGCAGGUUUUGCGUCAGCAUCCAGCCCUCUGUCCCCCAGUUUCAUUCUGCUUCACUGAUGGACUUUGAAAGAAUCCACUAUGCAGUGACGCAACCUUUGCGUGUGAUGCAACAUGAGCGAUCACACCACUAAGAGUGUUAACGUUUUGUCAACAUUUUUUUCUUCUUCUUUAUUUUGAAGGGUUCGAGGGGAAACUCUGCCCGGGCUUGCGUCAGGCUGCACAUAGAGGGAAGUUUGAAAAGCUGCGUUUUCUUUUGCAGAGAGAGAGAGAUGGAGGGAUAGGAGGACGGGAGGUGCUGCCAUUGUUCCCACUGAAACAAUGGAAGCUGCGGGGCGACAAGCAGGGGUGCGCACAUGAAUGGCUACAAGAGUGUGUGUGUGUGUGUGUGUGUGUGCGUGGUGGGAGGGAGUGGGGGGGGCCAGUGGCCCCAGGGUCUCCGUUCCCAGCGCCUCACAAUGAACCCCGCGUAAGGUCGGGGCUACCAAGGGUCACAGGCCAACCCCGCUUUUGUGCUCCACUUCAAAACACAUAAACAUUUAUUAAUCAAGAGCCAGAGACUGAGCCCUCUUUGCUGGAGGAGAAAAAAAAAACUAUGGGCGAGAAGAGGGGCGUAAAAGGGAGGGAAGGAGGAAGAAAUGACCACCGGCUGCAGUAGCACAUUCCAUCAUUUGCGCAGAGAAGUUUGGAAAAGUUGGAGCCACUUCUGGAAACAUACCGGUUUUGGAUUUGAUUUGCUCUUCUGCUGGAUACUCGCUGCACGUUUCCCCGGAGCAAGAUUUCUGUCGCAAAGAGGCAGUUUAUCCUCCACAACAAAGGACAGAAAAGAGGACACUUUAUUUAUGUAUAUGUAUAUAUAUAUAUAUUAAAGACAAUAACAGCGCAGGCAAUAAGCGUCACGGAGGCAGCGCUGAAUAUGCGUCGUUUUCUCUCCGGUGUGUUUAAAUGCGCAGAAGCAUCUCCGACGAGGACUAUAAUUUUUUUAUUUAUUAUUUUCUAAAGGCCAUUUGUUAUUCAGCUUAACCACGUUACCCAAAAAAAUACUCUAUUUUUCUACAUAUAGGAUUUCUAUUUAAGAUUAAAUUUGACGGCAAGAAAUAAUUUAUUUUUUGCUUGUGCGCAUUUAAAUACAUAAUUUAGCGUCGAUGUUGAUCUGCUUGGGACUCUUUGCGACGAAACAAAUAAUAAUGCAGCCUGUAGCAGAAGGAUGCACAUAAAAAAAAAAAAAAACUCUGUGCAGGCAGACAAUGGUUGAUGUGCGCUCUGCAGCUCUAUAAGCUGCCGGGAACAGAUGAGCUUUUUUUCACUCCCUCCUUACGUUUUGGGUCGUACAGCAAAGGCCUCCCCCACCCAACAGACAUCCUACAUGCUAGCUCCUAUAGCAUUAUAUCGCUCUGACUUUAAAAUAGAGUUUAUAUAUAUAUAUAUAUAUAUAUAUAUAUAUAU